UUAAGAAUCUUGGACAAUGGACGCAAGUCUGAUCCAGCGACGCCGCGUGAACGAUGAAGGUCCUCGGAUUGUAAAGUUCAGUAAGGUGGGAAGAAAAAGCACACGGUAAUAUUGUGUGUAUUGACGGUACCAUCCUAAAGCUUCGGCUAAAUACGUGCCAGCAGCCGCGGUAAUACGUAUGAAGCAAGCGUUGUUCGGAAUUAUUGGGCGUAAAGGGCAUCUAGGCGGGAUGUUAAGUCAGGUGUGAAAGCUAAGGGCUCAACCCUUAAACUGCAUUUGAUACUGACAUUCUUGAGUUCGGAAGAGGAAGGCGGAAUACCCGGUGUAGCGGUGAAAUGCGUAGAUAUCGGGUAGAACACCGGUGGCGAAGGCGGCCUUCUGGUCUAGAACUGACGCUGACAUGCGAAAGUGUGGGGAUCAAACGGG
rnacentral:rRNA from 1 species